GACGAACGCUGGCGGCGUGCCUAACACAUGCAAGUUGAGCGACGAACCAGGGCUUGCCCUGGGGCAAAGCAGCGAACGGGUGAGUAACACGUGGGUAACCUACCCCGAUAACCGGGACAACCCGAGGAAACCCGGGCUAAUACCGGAUGUGCUCACUGGACUUCGGUUCAGUGCGUAAAGGAAGCUUCGGCCUCCGUAUCGGGAGGGGCCCGCGGCCCAUUAGUUUGUUGGUGAGGUAACGGCUCACCAAGACCGCGAUGGGUAGCUGGUCUGAGAGGACGAUCAGCCACACUGGGACUGAGACACGGCCCAGACUCCUACGGGAGGCAGCAGUGGGGAAUCUUGCGCAAUGCGCGAAAGCGUGACGCAGCAACGCCGCGUGGGGGAAGAAGGCCUUCGGGUUGUAAACCCCUUUCAGGAGGGACGAAGGUUCGGCGGUGAAUAGCCGUCCGGACUGACGGUACCUCCACAAGAAGCCCCGGCUAACUACGUG
rnacentral:rRNA from 1 species